rnacentral:misc_RNA from 1 species
GAUGAAGAACGCAGCGAAAUGCGAUAAGUAAUGCGAAUUGCAGAAUUCCAGUGAGUCAUCGAAUCUUUGAACGCACAUUGCGCCCUCUGGUAUUCCGGGGGGCAUGCCUGUCCGAGCGUCAUUGCAACCCUCAAGCUCGGCUUGUGUGUUAGGCUUCGUCCCCCGUGGACGGGCCCGAAAGGCAGUGGCGGUGCCGCGGUCCGGUGCCCGAGCGUAUGGGGCUUUGUCACCCGCUCUAGAGGCCCGGCCGGUGCCAGCCGAUCGUUAAAUCGUUUCUUCAAGGUUGACCUCGGAUCAGGUAGGGAUACCCGCUGAACUUAAGCAUAUCAAUAAGCGGAGGA